rnacentral:rRNA from 1 species
UACGUAGGGGGCUAGCGUUGUCCGGAAUCAUUGGGCGUAAAGAGCGUGUAGGCGGCCCGGUAAGUCCGCUGUAAAAGUCAAAGGCUCAACCUUUGAAUGUCAGUGGAUACUGCCGGGCUAGAGUCCGGAAGAGGCGAGUGGAACUCCUGGUGUAGCGGUGGAAUGCGCAGAUAUCAGGUAGAACACCAACGGCGAAGGCAGCUCGCUAGGACGGUACUGACGCUGAGACGCGAAAGCGUGGGGAGCGAACAGG